CGAUACGAGUUUGAUCAUGGCUCAGGAUGAACGCUAGCGGCAGGCCUAAUACAUGCAAGUCAAGGGGCCCAGCAAUGGGCACCGGCGCACGGGUGCGUAACGCGUACACAACCUACCCUCAAGAGGGGGAUAGCGGCGGGAAACUGCCGGUAAUACCCCAUAGUAUUGUUGGAUCACCUGAUUUGAUAAUUAAAGUUACGGCGCUUGAGGAUGGGUGUGCGUAUGAUUAGCUAGUUGGUGAGGUAACGGCUCACCAAGGCUACGAUCAUUAGGGGGUGUGAGAGCAUGACCCCCCACACGGGUACUGAGACACGGACCCGACUCCUACGGGAGGCAGCAGUAAGGAAUAUUGGACAAUGGACGAAAGUCUGAUCCAGCCAUGCCGCGUGAAGGAUGAAGGCGCUCAGCGUUGUAAACUUCUUUUAAAUGGGAACAAACCACCCGGUUUACUGGGUGCUGAGGGUACCAUUAGAAUAAGCACCGGCUAACUCCGUG
rnacentral:rRNA from 1 species